UUACCGAUUACGACUUACUUGUUGGUCA
rnacentral:piRNA from 1 species